rnacentral:rRNA from 1 species
AGCGAACGCUGGCGGCAUGCCUAACACAUGCAAGUCGAACGAGACCUUCGGGUCUAGUGGCGCACGGGUGCGUAACGCGUGGGAACCUGCCCUUAGGUUCGGAAUAACUCCCCGAAAGGGGUGCUAAUACCGGAUAAUGUCUUCGGACCAAAGAUUUAUCGCCUUUGGAUGGGCCCGCGUUGGAUUAGCUAGUUGGUAGGGUAAAAGCCUACCAAGGCGACGAUCCAUAGCUGGUCUGAGAGGAUGAUCAGCCACACUGGGACUGAGACACGGCCCAGACUCCUACGGGAGGCAGCAGUGGGGAAUAUUGGACAAUGGGCGAAAGCCUGAUCCAGCAAUGCCGCGUGAAUGAUGAAGGCCUUAGGGUUGUAAAGCUCUUUUAUCCGGGAUGAUAAUGACAGUACCGGGAGAAUAAGCUCCGGCUAACUCCGUG